ACACACAUUGAUUGAUCACCUUUACAUAUCACAGCCAUACGCCUGCCUCCAAUCAGGUGUUCUGAAUACAUAUCACAGUUAUCACAACCCCAUUUAUUGUGUAAUUCACUAACACAAAAUGACUGCAAGGUUGUGAGGGAUAUGGACUUGCCAAGUGAUCUUAGUGUCUUUGCAACUGAGCACACUCUACCACCAACAAGGACAGCUCACCAGUGGGAGCUGAUACAUAAGACUGCUCUCAUCCAUUGAAGAGCUGACCAGAAACGUGAACAGAGAGACUGCAACUGCACCUGAUGGGAUCCCUGCCAUAACAGUCAUCCAUUCAUUCAUAACUCCUCAGAUGUGUUCUGUCCAGUGAAGGCAGUAGAGAAGCCCUACACUGAUCUUGAAACUGUGCCACGCUAGUAGAGACCGCUACAAGGAUGGGCAGCUGUUUUCGCAAAGUCAGCCAACCACUUGCUUCCAAAUGACCCUUAUCCAGAAGUAUCCGUGAGUGCCUCAUCAACAGAAACUAAAGUGGAGACCUACCUCUCAGAGAAAAACGCACACAUAAGAAAAGCCGACCCACUUCAGUACUGGGAAGAACAUCCUAAUCUGUUUCCCUCUAUGGCUGCUGUUGUGAUCCCAGUGUGCCCCCUGUAGCUCUGUGGACAGUUUUGGAUUUGUUUACAUCUCACCCAACCGCUCACGGCAGAUGGCUGCACCUCUCUAAGCCUGGUUCUGCCGGAGGUUUCUUCCUGUUAAAAGGGAGUUUUUCUGAACACACUCUACCACCAACAAGGACAGCUCACCAGUGGGAACUGAUAGAUAAGACUGCUGAUGUGCUCUCAUCCAUUGAAGAGCUGACCAGAAACGUGAACAGAAAGACUGCACCUGAUGGGAUCCCUGCCAUAACAGAUGUGUUCUGUCCAGUGAAGGCAGUGGAGAAGCCCUACACUGAUCUUGAAACUGUGCCACGCUAGUAGAGACCGCUACAAGGAUGGGCAGCUGUUUUCGCAAAGUCAGCCAACCACUUGCUUCCAAAUGACCCUUAUCCAGAAGUAUCCGUGAGUGCCUCAUCAACAGAAACUAAAGUGGAGACCUACCUCUCAGAGAAAAACGCACACAUAAGAAAAGCCGACCCACUUCAGUACUGGGAAGAACAUCCUAAUCUGUUUCCUCUAUGGCUGCUGUUGCG